UGGGGAAUUGUUCGCAAUGGGCGAAAGCCUGACGACGCAACGCCGCGUGGAGGACGAAGAUUUUCGGAUCGUAAACUCCUUUCGAUCGGGACGAACGACUGGUGGCCCAAUACGCCAUCAGAGUGACGGUACCGAGAGAAGAAGCCCCGGCUAACUCCGUGCCAGCAGCCGCGGUAAUACGGGGGGGGCAAGCGUUGUUCGGAAUUACUGGGCGUAAAGGGCGCGUAGGCGGCCUGCUAAGUCACACGUGAAAUCCCUCGGCUCAACCGGGGAACUGCGUGUGAUACUGGCGGGCUUGAAUUCGGGAGAGGGAUGUGGAAUUCCAGGUGUAGCGGUGAAAUGCGUAGAUAUCUGGAGGAACACCGGUGGCGAAGGCGGCAUCCUGGACCGAGAUUGACGCUGAGGCGCGAAAGCUAGGGUAGCAAACGGG
rnacentral:rRNA from 1 species